AAGGCUGAGGCGUGAUGACGAGGCACUACGGUGCUGAAGCAACAAAUGCCCUGCUUCCAGGAAAAGCCUCUAAGCAUCAGGUAACAUCAAAUCGUACCCCAAACCGACACAGGUGGUCAGGUAGAGAAUACCAAGGCGCUUGAGAGAACUCGGGUGAAGGAACUAGGCAAAAUGGUGCCGUAACUUCGGGAGAAGGCACGCUGAUAUGUAGGUGAAGUCCCUCGCGGAUGGAGCUGAAAUCAGUCGAAGAUACCAGCUGGCUGCAACUGUUUAUUAAAAACACAGCACUGUGCAAACACGAAAGUGGACGUAUACGGUGUGACGCCUGCCCGGUGCCGGAAGGUUAAUUGAUGGGGUCAGCGCAAGCGAAGCUCUUGAUCGAAGCCCCGGUAAACGGCGGCCGUAACUAUAACGGUCCUAAGGUAGCGAAAUUCCUUGUCGGGUAAGUUCCGACCUGCACGAAUGGCGUAAUGAUGGCCAGGCUGUCUCCACCCGAGACUCAGUGAAAUUGAACUCGCUGUGAAGAUGCAGUGUACCCGCGGCAAGACGGAAAGACCCCGUGAACCUUUACUAUAGCUUGACACUGAACAUUGAGCCUUGAUGUGUAGGAUAGGUGGGAGGCUUUGAAGUGUGGACGCCAGUCUGCAUGGAGCCGACCUUGAAAUACCACCCUUUAAUGUUUGAUGUUCUAACGUGGACCCGUGAUCCGGGUUGCGGACAGUGUCUGGUGGGUAGUUUGACUGGGGCGGUCUCCUCCUAAAGAGUAACGGAGGAGCACGAAGGUUGGCUAAUCCUGGUCGGACAUCAGGAGGUUAGUGCAAUGGCAUAAGCCAGCUUGACUGCGAGCGUGACGGCGCGAGCAGGUGCGAAAGCAGGUCAUAGUGAUCCGGUGGUUCUGAAUGGAAGGGCCAUCGCUCAACGGAUAAAAGGUACUCCGGGGAUAACAGGCUGAUACCGCCCAAGAGUUCAUAUCGACGGCGGUGUUUGGCACCUCGAUGUCGGCUCAUCACAUCCUGGGGCUGAAGUAGGUCCCAAGGGUAUGGCUGUUCGCCAUUUAAAGUGGUACGCGAGCUGGGUUUAGAACGUCGUGAGACAGUUCGGUCCCUAUCUGCCGUGGGCGCUGGAGAACUGAGGGGGGCUGCUCCUAGUACGAGAGGACCGGAGUGGACGCAUCACUGGUGUUCGGGUUGUCAUGCCAAUGGCACUGCCCGGUAGCUAAAUGCGGAAGAGAUAAGUGCUGAAAGCAUCUAAGCACGAAACUUGCCCCGAGAUGAGUUCUCCCUGACCCUUUAAGGGUCCUGAAGGAACGUUGAAGACGACGACGUUGAUAGGCCGGGUGUGUAAGCGCAGCGAUGCGUUGAGCUAACCGGUACUAAUGAACCGUGAGGCUUAACCUUACAACGCCGAAGGUGUUU
rnacentral:rRNA from 1 species